GGGAUUAGUGGCGAACGGGUGAGUAACACGUGGGCAAUCUGCCCUGCACUCUGGGACAAGCCCUGGAAACGGGGUCUAAUACCGGAUACUGAUCCGCCUGGGCAUCCAGGCGGUUCGAAAGCUCCGGCGGUGCAGGAUGAGCCCGCGGCCUAUCAGCUUGUUGGUGAGGUAGUGGCUCACCAAGGCGACGACGGGUAGCCGGCCUGAGAGGGCGACCGGCCACACUGGGACUGAGACACGGCCCAGACUCCUACGGGAGGCAGCAGUGGGGAAUAUUGCACAAUGGGCGAAAGCCUGAUGCAGCGACGCCGCGUGAGGGAUGACGGCCUUCGGGUUGUAAACCUCUUUCAGCAGGGAAGAAGCGAAAGUGACGGUACCUGCAGAAGAAGCGCCGGCUAACUACGUGCCAGCAGCCGCGGUAAUACGUAGGGCGCAAGCGUUGUCCGGAAUUAUUGGGCGUAAAGAGCUCGUAGGCGGCUUGUCACGUCGG
rnacentral:rRNA from 1 species